CCUACGGGAGGCAGCAGUGGGGAAUAUUGCGCAAUGGGCGAAAGCCUGACGCAGCGACGCCGCGUGAGGGAUGAAGGUCUUCGGAUCGUAAACCUCUGUUAGCAGGGAAGAACGGUCACUUAGCUAAUCAGCCGUGAAUUGACGGUACCUGCAAAGGAAGCACCGGCUAACUCCGUGCCAGCAGCCGCGGUAAUACGGAGGGUGCGAGCGUUAAUCGGAAUUACUGGGCGUAAAGCGCGCGUAGGCGGUAUGUUAAGUCGAGGGUGAAAGCCCCGCGCUCAACGUGGGAACUGCCUUUGAAACUGGCAAACUGGAGUGUGUGAGAGGAGAGUGGAAUUCCAGGUGUAGGGGUGAAAUCCGUAGAUAUCUGGAGGAACAUCAGUGGCGAAGGCGACUAUCUGGCACAUAACUGACGCUGAGGAGCGAAAGCGUGGGUAGCAAACAGGAUUAGAUACCCUUGUAGUC
rnacentral:rRNA from 1 species